AGCUUUGCGCAGUGGCAGUAUCGUAGCCAAUGAGGUUUAUCCGAGGCGCAAUUAUUGCUAAUUGAAAAAAAAAAAAGAAAUGCCAAUAUCACCAUUGAUUCUUCACAACCCAUAAGAUGG
rnacentral:snRNA from 1 species